rnacentral:rRNA from 1 species
CCUACGGGGGGCAGCAGUGGGGAAUAUUGGGCAAUGGGCGCAAGCCUGACCCAGCAACGCCGCGUGAAGGAAGAAGGCUUUCGGGUUGUAAACUUCUUUUAAGGGGGAAGAGCAGAAGACGGUACCCCUUGAAUAAGCCACGGCUAACUACGUGCCAGCAGCCGCGGUAAUACGUAGGUGGCAAGCGGUGUCCGGAUUUACUGGGUGUAAAGGGCGUGCAGCCGGAGAGACAAGUCAGAUGUGAAAUCCACGGGCUCAACCCAUGAACUGCAUUUGAAACUGUUUCCCUUGAGUGUCGGAGAGGUAAUCGGAAUUCCUGGUGUAGCGGUGAAAUGCGUAGAUAUAAGGAAGAACACCAGUGGCGAAGGCGGAUUACUGGACGAUAACUGACGGUGAGGCGCGAAAGCGUGGGGAGCAAACAGGAUUAGAUACCCUUGUAGUC